AACUGGGUGUACCCCACACCUAGCUUUCUCUGCUCAAUGAAUAUUUCAAUAGCCGCAGUACCCUGACUGUGCAAAGGUAGCAUAAUCAGUUGGCUCAUAAUUGGAGUCUCGCAUGAACGAGUUCAUGGGUAAGGCCUGUCUCCAAAGGAUAAGUAGAACUUUUUUGAGUAGGUGAAAAUACCUACAAAAUAAAUAAAAGACGAGAAGACCCUAGAAAUUUUUCAUUAAGGCGUAUAACAGUGCUCUCAUGUUUUGCUGGGGCGGCAGAGUAACAUGUGUUAACUUACUCUAUGUAUCAGACUUUUGUUUAGAGAAAAAUCAUAAUUACUCUAGGGAUAACAGCGUAAUUCUACUGAGUUUGCGACCUCGAUGUUGGACUAGGAAGGAGGACACUCAGAAGGUGUUUUCCAACGUUCUGUUCGAACGCUAUCUCCUACAUG
rnacentral:rRNA from 1 species